ACCACACGAAGCUGGAAUCGCUAGUAAUCGCGAAUCAGAAUGUCGCGGUGAAUACGUUCCCGGGUCUUGUACGCACCGCCCGUCAAGCCAUGGGAGCCGGGAGUGCCUGAAGGCCGUGACCGCAAGGAGCGACCUAGGGCAAAACUGGUGACUGGGGCUAAGUCGUAACAAGGUAGC
rnacentral:rRNA from 1 species